UUCGCGUUAUUGCGCGGCUCGGACGGAACGGCAGACGGUUGGGAGGGGCCUCCGCGGGGGCACGCACGCACGCCCCCUCCCCCCGGGAGGGAGGGGGGCGGCCGCGGCCGCGAGGGGCGCCCCGCGGAGGCAACGGGGGCGGGUAGGCACGGGUGGGGGGUCUACCCCAUGGGGCAGGAACCCGGUAAUGAUCCUUCCGCAGGUUCACCUACGGAAA
rnacentral:misc_RNA from 1 species